rnacentral:lncRNA from 1 species
UGAAAAAUCGAGCAUUUCUAAUUAACGCACGGGUAGCAGUAAUAUACCUACUGCCGGAUUAUUGGUGGUUGCAUCAAAGCCGGGCAUGCUAAAAGAUCAUCAGAAAUUAGAGGCCUCCAAUGGACAUUGUACAUAGACCGUACAUCGUCGAUCAGGGAUUUGUCGGUGCCAACCGACGACGAUUCUUACUAUUCUAACAAGACACUGAUACCGAUCUGUAAUGGUACUGAUAUAUCAUAUAUACCGG